rnacentral:rRNA from 2 species
AUAGCAUGUCAGAAGGCAGACCCGGAGAACUGAAACAUCUUAGUACCCGGAGGAAGAGAAAGAAAAAUCGAUUCCCUGAGUAGCGGCGAGCGAAACGGGAAGAGCCCAAACCAACAAGCUUGCUUGUUGGGGUUGUAGGACACUCUAUACGGAGUUACAAAAGAACAUGUUAGACGAAUCAUCUGGAAAGAUGAAUCAAAGAAGGUAAUAAUCCUGUAGUCGAAAACAUAUUCUCUCUUGAGUGGAUCCUGAGUACGACGGAGCACGUGAAAUUCCGUCGGAAUCUGGGAGGACCAUCUCCUAAGGCUAAAUACUCUCUAGUGACCGAUAGUGAACCAGUACCGUGAGGGAAAGGUGAAAAGUACCCCGGAAGGGGAGUGAAAGAGAACUUGAAACCGUGUGCUUACAAGUAGUCAGAGCCCGUUAAUGGGUGAUGGCGUGCCUUUUGUAGAAUGAACCGGCGAGUUACGAUCUGAUGCAAGGUUAAGCAGCAAAUGUGGAGCCGCAGCGAAAGCGAGUCUGAAUAGGGCGUUGAGUAUUUGGUCGUAGACCCGAAACCAGGUGAUCUACCCUUGGUCAGGUUGAAGUUCAGGUAACACUGAAUGGAGGACCGAACCGACUUACGUUGAAAAGUGAGCGGAUGAACUGAGGGUAGCGGAGAAAUUCCAAUCGAACUUGGAGAUAGCUGGUUCUCUCCGAAAUAGCUUUAGGGCUAGCCUCAAGUGAUGAUUAUUGGAGGUAGAGCACUGUUUGGACGAGGGGCCCCUCUCGGGUUACCGAAUUCAGACAAACUCCGAAUGCCAAUUAAUUUAACUUGGGAGUCAGAACAUGGGUGAUAAGGUCCGUGUUCGAAAGGGAAACAGCCCAGACCACCAGCUAAGGUCCCAAAAUAUAUGUUAAGUGGAAAAGGAUGUGGCGUUGCCCAGACAACUAGGAUGUUGGCUUAGAAGCAGCCAUCAUUUAAAGAGUGCGUAAUAGCUCACUAGUCGAGUGACACUGCGCCGAAAAUGUACCGGGGCUAAACAUAUUACCGAAGCUGUGGAUUGUCCUUUGGACAAUGGUAGGAGAGCGUUCUAAGGGCGUCGAAGCAUGAUCGCAAGGACAUGUGGAGCGCUUAGAAGUGAGAAUGCCGGUGUGAGUAGCGAAAGACGGGUGAGAAUCCCGUCCACCGAUUGACUAAGGUUUCCAGAGGAAGGCUCGUCCGCUCUGGGUUAGUCGGGUCCUAAGCUGAGGCCGACAGGCGUAGGCGAUGGAUAACAGGUUGAUAUUCCUGUACCACCUAGUAUCGUUUUAAUCGAUGGGGGGACGCAGUAGGAUAGGCGAAGCGUGCUGUUGGAGUGCACGUCCAAGCAGUAAGGCUGAGUGUUAGGCAAAUCCGGCACUCAUAAGGCUGAGCUGUGAUGGGGAGAGGAAAUUGUUUCCUCGAGUCGUUGAUUUCACACUGCCGAGAAAAGCCUCUAGAUAGAUAACAGGUGCCCGUACCGCAAACCGACACAGGUAGUCAAGAUGAGAAUUCUAAGGUGAGCGAGCGAACUCUCGUUAAGGAACUCGGCAAAAUGACCCCGUAACUUCGGGAGAAGGGGUGCUCUUUAGGGUUCACGCCCAGAAGAGCCGCAGUGAAUAGGCCCAAGCGACUGUUUAUCAAAAACACAGGUCUCUGCUAAACCGUAAGGUGAUGUAUAGGGGCUGACGCCUGCCCGGUGCUGGAAGGUUAAGAGGAGUGGUUAGCUUCUGCGAAGCUACGAAUCGAAGCCCCAGUAAACGGCGGCCGUAACUAUAACGGUCCUAAGGUAGCGAAAUUCCUUGUCGGGUAAGUUCCGACCCGCACGAAAGGCGUAACGAUUUGGGCACUGUCUCAACGAGAGACUCGGUGAAAUCAUAGUACCUGUGAAGAUGCAGGUUACCCGCGACAGGACGGAAAGACCCCGUGGAGCUUUACUGUAGCCUGAUAUUGAAAUUCGGCACAGCUUGUACAGGAUAGGUAGGAGCCUUUGAAACGUGAGCGCUAGCUUACGUGGAGGCGUUGGUGGGAUACUACCCUAGCUGUGUUGGCUUUCUAACCCGCACCACUUAUCGUGGUGGGAGACAGUGUCAGGCGGGCAGUUUGACUGGGGCGGUCGCCUCCUAAAAGGUAACGGAGGCGCUCAAAGGUUCCCUCAGAAUGGUUGGAAAUCAUUCAUAGAGUGUAAAGGCAUAAGGGAGCUUGACUGCGAGACCUACAAGUCGAGCAGGGUCGAAAGACGGACUUAGUGAUCCGGUGGUUCCGCAUGGAAGGGCCAUCGCUCAACGGAUAAAAGCUACCCCGGGGAUAACAGGCUUAUCUCCCCCAAGAGUUCACAUCGACGGGGAGGUUUGGCACCUCGAUGUCGGCUCAUCGCAUCCUGGGGCUGUAGUCGGUCCCAAGGGUUGGGCUGUUCGCCCAUUAAAGCGGUACGCGAGCUGGGUUCAGAACGUCGUGAGACAGUUCGGUCCCUAUCCGUCGUGGGCGUAGGAAAUUUGAGAGGAGCUGUCCUUAGUACGAGAGGACCGGGAUGGACAUACCUCUGGUGUACCAGUUGUCGUGCCAACGGCAUAGCUGGGUAGCUAUGUAUGGACGGGAUAAGUGCUGAAAGCAUCUAAGCAUGAAGCCCCCCUCAAGAUGAGAUUUCCCAACUUCGGUUAUAAGAUCCCUCGAAGAUGACGAGGUUAAUAGGUUCGAGGUGGAAGCGUGGUGACACGUGGAGCUGACGAAUACUAAUCGAUCGAAGACUUAAUCAAUUUUUAAA